UUCGGACCUAGAGACCGGCGCACGGGUGCGUAACGCGUAUGCAAUCUACCUUUUACAGAGGGAUAGCCCAGAGAAAUUUGGAUUAAUACCUCAUAGUAUUAUUGAAUGGCAUCAUUUAAUAAUUAAAGUCACAACGGUAAAAGAUGAGCAUGCGUCCCAUUAGCUUGUUGGUAAGGUAACGGCUUACCAAGGCAACGAUGGGUAGGGGUCCUGAGAGGGAGAUCCCCCACACUGGUACUGAGACACGGACCAGACUCCUACGGGAGGCAGCAGUGAGGAAUAUUGGUCAAUGGGCGCAAGCCUGAACCAGCCAUGCCGCGUGCAGGAUGAAGCAUCUAUGGUGUGUAAACUGCUUUUGUACGAGAAGAAACACUCCUUCGUGAAGGAGCUUGACGGUAUCGUAAGAAUAAGGACCGGCUAACUCCGUGCCAGCAGCCGCGGUAAUACGGAGGGUCCAAGCGUUAUCCGGAAUCAUUGGGUUUAAAGGGUCCGUAGGCGGUUUUGUAAGUCAGUGGUGAAAGCCCAUCGCUCAACGGUGGAACGGCCAUUGAUACUGCAAGACUUGAAUUAUUGGGAAGCAACUAGAAUAUGUAGUGUAGCGGUGAAAUGCUUAGAGAUUACAUGGAAUACCAAUUGCGAAGGCAGGUUGCUACCAAUACAUUGACGCUGAUGGACGAAAGCGUGGGGAGCGAACAGGAUUAGAUACCCU
rnacentral:rRNA from 1 species